UUGACCUCGAAUCAGGUAGGACUACCCGCUGAACUUAAGCAUAUCAAUAAGCGGAGGAAAAGAAACCAACAGGGAUUGCCCUAGUAACGGCGAGUGAAGCGGCAACAGCUCAAAUUUGAAAU
rnacentral:rRNA from 1 species